CAAAGCAGCCAUCCUUUAAAGAAAGCGUAACAGCUCACUGGUCAAGUCGGCCCGCGCGGAAGAUUCAACGGGGCUCAAGCCAUGCACCGAAGCUACGGAUGUGCACUUUCUUCGGACUGUGUACGUGGUAGAGGAGCGUUCUGUACGCCUGCGAAGGUGUGUCGUGAGACAUGCUGGAGGUAUCAGAAGUGCGAAUGCUGACAUGAGUAACGAUAAUGCGGGUGAAAAAACCCGCACGCCGUAAACCCAAGGUUUCCUGCGCUACGUUAAUCGGCGCAGGGUUAGUCGGCCCCUAAGGCGAGACCGAGAGGUGUAGUCGAUGGGAAGCAGGUCAAUAUUCCUGCACCGCUUGUUACUGCGAUGAGGGGACGGAGGAGGCUAGGCUGGCCGGGUGUUGGUUAUCCCGGUUUAAGCGUGUAGGAAGUGUUCUUAGGCAAAUCCGGGAACACAAUUCCGAGACGUGAUGACGAGGGUCCAUUGGACUCGAAGUAGCUGAUGCCACGCUCCCAGGAAAAGCCUCUAAGCUUCAGGUAACAAGGACCGUACUGCAAACCGACACAGGUGGGUGAGGAGAAAAUCCUAAGGCGCUUGAGAGAACUCGGAUGAAGGAACUCUGCAAAAUUGUGCCGUAACUUCGGGAGAAGGCACGCCCUCUAAGGUGAAGGACCUGCGUCUGGAGCCAUUGAGGGUCUCAGUAAAAAGGUGGCUGCGACUGUUUACUAAAAACACAGCACUCUGCAAACACGUAAGUGGAAGUAUAGGGUGUGACGCCUGCCCGGUGCCGGAAGGUUAAUUGAUGGGGUUAGCCGCAAGGCUAAGCUCUUGAUCGAAGCCCCGGUAAACGGCGGCCGUAACAAUAACGGUCCUAAGGUAGCAAAAUUCCUUGUCGGGUAAGUUCCGACCUGCACGAAUGGCGUAACGAUGGCCACACUGUCUCCAUCCGAGACUCAGUGAAGUUGAAAUCGCUGUGAAGAUGCAGUGUACCCGCGGCAAGACGGAAAGACCCCGUGAACCUUUACUAUAACUUUGCACUGAAUUUUGAAUUUGUCUGUGUAGGAUAGGUGGGAGGCUUUGAAGCGGUGACGCUAGUCAUCGUGGAGCCACCGUUGAAAUACCACCCUGAUAAAUUCGGAGUUCUAACCUUGGCCCGUUAUCCGGGUUGGGGACAGUGCAUGGCGGGUAGUUUGACUGGGGCGGUCUCCUCCUAAAAAAAG
rnacentral:rRNA from 1 species